AUUUAUUUGACUGUGUAUGAAGUUGUAGCUUAGAAUAUUUUGUAUGUGGGGAAAAGAUGGGCUUAUUAGGUGGCUGAAUAUUAGUGUGGAUCAGAUCAAUACACUGCCUACAUCAGUGAGAUUGAGGAGAAUGAGAUGCUGGUUAGGAUCAAUCUCUUCCAAUCAAAUCUCAUAUGCAAAUAAAGAACUGCCUUUUGAUUGGCUGCUUAUGAUCCUCAGAAGAAGCCAUUAAUGUCUUGCUUUUCUGGCUGCCUUAGUACCCAGACAAUGUUAAUACAAAUGGAAAUUCAGCCAUAUAUUUAAACAACCUGUCAUAGCAAAGAGAUUUCCAGAGCUUUUUGGUUAAAGAGAUUUUUGAAUGUAUGUAUGAGCAAUAUAUGGGCUGACUUUUUAUCCCAGCAAAUAUGAAGAUGUAUUAUCCCUCGAGGUUUGUUAUUAACCUCAGUUUCACCUCUGUUAAUAUUUACUCCACAGGUCAAUACAUCUCGAUAUUCACUUCAACAGAAGCCAAUAUCUUCACAUUACAAGUUAUUAAUCUUGGCCGAGCUGAAAAAUUGUGCGACUAUUUUUCUUUUGCUAGAGAAAAUGAGGACUUUUUGUCCCUCUUUUCCUCAGGCUCUCUUAAAGGGGAAAGUUAAUUUUUAUCUGAAUCGCCACAUUUCCUUUUCAGCUUUAGUGCUUGAGGUUGAGGCAAAGCCUCUAGAACCUUGCCUCUCAAACUGUGAUCCUGGACCAGAAGCAUCCGCAUCACUCGGGAACCGAUUAGAAAUAAAAAUUCUCAGCCCUAUCCCAGAGCUACUGGAUCAGAAGCUGUGGAGGUGGGUCCCAGCUAUCUGUGCCUGAUCAAUCACCAGGUGAUUGUGAUGCACAUUUAAGUUUGAGAAUCACUGCACCAGGACACGGAUUUUUCAACCUUAUCUAUUUGUUGCAAUUCCUUGAGGAGCUUAAAAAAUAAUGUCUUGGUUUUUCCUCCAUAGGUUCCGAUUUAAUUGGUCUUGGGUAUGGCCUGGGCAUCAGGAUAUUUUAUAGCUCCCUAGAUGUUUUUAAGCAGCAGCUAGGGUUUAGAAUUACUCUAAGGCAAGCUUCCAUCCUAAAUUACUUUUCUCAGAUCUCUUGAUUUUUUUUUUUGAGAAAAAGUCUCACCCCGUUACCAGGCUGGAGUGCAGUGGUGUGAUCUCAGCUCACUGCAACCUCUGCCUCUUGGAUUCAGGUGAUUCUCCUGCCUCAGCCUCCCAAGCAGCUGUGGCUACAGGUGUGUGCCACCACACCCAGCUAAUUUUUUGUAUUUUUAGUAGAGAUGGGUUUCACCGUUUUAGCCAGGAUGGUCUCCAUCUCCUGACCUCGUGAUCCACCUGCCUUGGUCUCCCAAAGUGUUGGAAUUACAGGUGUGAGCCACUGUGCCUGGCAUGAUCUCUUUUCAUACAAAAUAUUUUGCCAUGUUUCCCUUACUAUCCUGAAAUAAAAUUUGUAUAAAUAUUACUCA
rnacentral:lncRNA from 13 species